AUUGAACGCUGGCGGCAGGCCUAACACAUGCAAGUCGAGCGGAUGAAGGGAGCUUGCUCCUGGAUUCAGCGGCGGACGGGUGAGUAAUGCCUAGGAAUCUGCCUGGUAGUGGGGGAUAACGUCCGGAAACGGGCGCUAAUACCGCAUACGUCCUGAGGGAGAAAGUGGGGGAUCUUCGGACCUCACGCUAUCAGAUGAGCCUAGGUCGGAUUAGCUAGUUGGUGGGGUAAAGGCCUACCAAGGCGACGAUCCGUAACUGGUCUGAGAGGAUGAUAAGUCACACUGGAACUGGGACACGGUCCAGACUCCUACGGGAGGCAGCAGUGGGGAAUAUUGGACGAUGGGCGAAAGCCUGAUCCAGCCAUGCCGCGUGUGUGAAGAAGGUCCUCGGAUUGUAAAGCACUUUAAGUUGGGAGGAAGGGCAGUAAGUUAAUACCUUGCUGUUUUGACGUUACCAACAGAAUAAGCACCGGCUAACUUCGUG
rnacentral:rRNA from 1 species